ensembl:antisense RIKEN cDNA 3110045C21 gene
GUUCUGAGUGAAGCAAGCGGGCCGGCAGAGCUGGAGGUUUCACAAGGCUGCUGGGAGAGGCUUCUGUGCAGGAACCCAAGUCCAAGUUUGCUUCUUAGGACGUGUAAAGCAUGGUCUUUAAGAAAGAGAACCUGGAUUUCAUUGAAUUGUAUUUAUGUCGAAUCACGAUUCUCUUGUGCAACUAUUAGCAUGAACUCUGUGCAUGAAAGCAACAUCAGGAGUCUGCCUGGGUCUAGAGGAGUUCAGCCUUACUACAGCCUCAGAUGAGAACAGGUGUGGGACCAGCUCUGAGUUAGAUGAAACCCAGAAGACUUCAGAGAAAGUCUCCCCUCCUCUGUCACUUCCAGCCCAGCCCAGUAAGGGAAACUGGGACUCUUCCUCCUUUUGUUCUACUCAAGUUGCUGCUUCCAAGGCUCUGUGACCGACAAGGGAUGGACUGGACUAUUAAUCUAAAAUGUUUAAUUUUUAAAGUCAUUUGUCAUAGAGAGUCACAACCCCGAGCAAUGAAAAUAUUUUUUAAUUCAUAGGACACCUGCUGGGAGAAGUGUGCUCCUGUUACUCGGAAUUCUGCAAGUGAAAGUAAAAUGUGUUGGGGAUAGUUCCUCCCUAAUCUCCAUUGGGAAGUUUGCAUCUGGAUCCCAGUUGUAUACAGUUUUUGUUAAUUUAUGCUUGUGUGAACAGCUGCCUGAGACAGACCAUAUUUGGAUUUAGCAAGUGUUUCUGUUCCUUCAAAAAAAAAAUAUAUCAAAACAAAACAACUCCACAGUAAUGACAGUGAAGGCUUUCAAAAGAAUUCUGGAAACUCAGGUUCCCAGAAGUGGCCCAAUAAUAUGAAGAUAUGAAACAAGGUCUCUACUAUGUCAGAGACAUCACCAUGUUAGUUAUCUGUCAACUGACAACUAACAGAAGCCUUUUCACAUGACUCUGUCAGACAUCCCUAAUAACCGUGUGCACACUUUCCCUGUGUCACAUCACCACUCCACCAGUGGUGUCAGGAGGAAAGACAACAAAGGCCAGAACUGUUACUGCUGAGACAGAAAGAAGACUGCAUCAGUAGCAUGACUCUUUAAUCACUGUUAUGUACAAUUUAUCAUCUGACAGACUUACAGGGAAUAAAUAAAGGAAAAUAGACAAUUGGCA